GUCGUUGUAGUAUAGUGGUAAGUAUUCGCGCCUGUCACUCGGGUGACCUGGGUUCGAUCCCCGGCAACGGCG
rnacentral:tRNA from 1 species